rnacentral:rRNA from 1 species
AUUGAACGCUGGCGGCAGGCCUAACACAUGCAAGUCGAGCGGAUGAAGGGAGCUUGCUCCUGGAUUCAGCGGCGGACGGGUGAGUAAUGCCUAGGAAUCUGCCUGGUAGUGGGGGAUAACGUCCGGAAACGGGCGCAAAUACCGCAUACGUCCAGAGGGAGAAAGGGGGGGAUCAUCGGACCUCACGCCAUCAGAUGAGCCUAGGUCGGAUUAGCUAGUUGGUGGGGUAAAGGCCUACCAAGGCGACGAUCCGUAGCUGGUCUGAGAGGAUGAUCAGUCACACUGGAACUGAGACACGGUCCAGACUCCUACGGGAGGCAGCAGUGGGGAAUAUUGGACAAUGGGCGAAAGCCUGAUCCAGCCAUGCCGCGUGUGUGAAGAAGGUCUUCGGAUUGUAAAGCCCUUUAAUUUGGGAGGAAGGGCAGUAAGUUAAUACCUUGCUGUUUUGACGUUACCAACAGAAUAAGCACCGGCUAACUUCGUG